GGUGGUUUUCUGCCUCUUUCUCACUCAGCAAACAGGAGGCUCGGGCUCAGCAUGCACCGCAGCUCUCUCGUCCUCACUGCCUUCCUGGGACAACUGCUGGAUGCCGUGGGGCAGACCAUUGUCAGCCAGCAAGAAGGACAGGUCACAGUGGAGGAGAGAAACACCUUCCAGACCACCUGCACAUACCAGGCAGCUGGGUUUUAUGGCUUGUUUUGGUACCAGCAGAAGAAAGGCCAAGCUCCCCAGCUGGUCUCACAUCAGGCAGCUGCAGGCUCCAAGCAGAACGGCCGUUUCACCACGUGGCUGAACACCACCGAGAAAUACAGCCUCCUGCGGCUGGCAGAAGUCGAGCUGUCUGACAGCGCCUUG